GGCCUGUUAGCUCAGUGGUCCAGAGUAUUGGGGAGGUUCAGUCCCAAAGGUCACGGGUUCGAACCCCGUACGGGCCC
rnacentral:tRNA from 1 species